rnacentral:sRNA from 1 species
CCAAAUCUCUAUCGUUUCUUACGGUAAAGAAAAACCCGCUGUUCUGGGUCAUGAUGAAGCGGCUUACGCUAAAAACCGUCGUGCUGUCCUGGUAUAUUAAGAGAAUCGCAUGAACAGUAACUUCAGACAUCAUUUGUUG